rnacentral:rRNA from 1 species
CCCUUAGAUGUUCUGGGCCGCACGCGCGCUACACUGACGAAUGCAACGAGCUUAUAACCUUGGCCGAAAGGUCUGGGUAAUCUCCAAAUUUCGUCGUGAUGGGGAUAGAUUAUUGCAAUUAUUAAUCUUCAACGAGGAAUGCCUAGUAAGCACAAGUCAUCAGCUUGCGUUGAUUACGUCCCUGCCCUUUGUACACACCGCCCGUCGCUCCUACCGAUUGAAUGGUCCGGUGAAGCGCUCGGACCGCGGCCUCUUGACGGUUCGCUGUCGAUUGGCUGUGGGAAGUUCGUUAAACCUUAUCAUUUAGAGGAAGGAGAAGUCGUAACA